rnacentral:rRNA from 1 species
AUUGAACGCUGGCGGCAUGCUUUACACAUGCAAGUCGGACGAGUGGCGAACGGGUGAGUAACGCAUCGGAACGUACCGAGUAAUGGGGGAUAACUGUCCGAAAGGACAGCUAAUACCGCAUAUUAUUCGAGCGGCCGAUGUCUGAUUAGCUGGUUGGCGGGGUAACGGCCCACCAAGGCGACGAUCAGUAGCGGGUCUGAGAGGGUGAUCCGCCACACUGGGAUGGGGAAACGGCACAGACUCUUAGGGGAGGGAGCAGGGGGGAAUUUGGGAAAAGGGGCGCAAGCCUGAGCCAGCCAUGCGGGGUGUCUGAAGAAGGCCUUCGGGUUGUAAAGGACUUUUGUCAGGGAAGCGGUACCUGAAGAAUAAGCACCGGCUAACGACGUGCCAGCAGCGCGGUAAUAC